rnacentral:lncRNA from 1 species
UAACCUGUGGGACCAGAUAAAAAGGAGGGCCACAGGAGCUCCCCCAGCCCUAUUCUCAAGUCAUUCAGCUGGUGUAACUACAGUACAGGAUUGCACCCUAAAUUACAGCAGCAUAGAACAGGGUGUUAAAACUGAGGAGGUGGGACCACAUGCCAUGGGGAAAGAAGAUCUCCUGUACAUCCCAGCUGCCCUCACUGUCUUGAGCUUGACCAUGCUGGGCUGAAGAUCCUAGUCCAACAGCACUGGUUACAUUAUACUUC